GACGAACGCUGGCGGCGUGCUUAACACAUGCAAGUCGAACGGAAAGGCCCUGCUUUUGUGGGGUGCUCGAGUGGCGAACGGGUGAGUAACACGUGAGUAACCUGCCCUUGACUUUGGGAUAACUUCAGGAAACUGGGGCUAAUACCGGAUAGGAGCUCCUGCUGCAUGGUGGGGGUUGGAAAGUUUCGGCGGUUGGGGAUGGACUCGCGGCUUAUCAGCUUGUUGGUGGGGUAGUGGCUUACCAAGGCUUUGACGGGUAGCCGGCCUGAGAGGGUGACCGGGCACAUUGGGACUGAGAUACGGACCAGACUCCUACGGGAGGCAGCAGUGGGGAAUAUUGCACAAUGGGCGGAAGCCUGAUGCAGCAACGCCGCGUGCGGGAUGACGGCCUUCGGGUGGUAAACCGCUUUCGCCUGUGACGAAGCGUGAGUGACGGUAAUGGGUAAAGAAGCACCGGCUAACUACGUG
rnacentral:rRNA from 1 species